GAUGAACGCUGGCGGCGUGCUUAACACAUGCAAGUCGAACGAAGCACCUUAUUCUGAUUUCUUCGGAAUGAAAAAUUUGGUGACUGAGUGGCGGACGGGUGAGUAACGCGUGGGUAACCUGCCUCAUACAGGGGGAUAACAGUUAGAAAUGACUGCUAAUACCGCAUAAGACCACAGCACCGCAUGGUGCAGGGGUAAAAACUCCGGUGGUAUGAGAUGGACCCGCGUCUGAUUAGGUGGUUGGUGGGGUAACGGCCUACCAAGCCGACGAUCAGUAGCCGACCUGAGAGGGUGACCGGCCACAUUGGGACUGAGACACGGCCCAAACUCCUACGGGAGGCAGCAGUGGGGAAUAUCGCACAAUGGGGGAAACCCUGAUGCAGCGACGCCGCGUGAGCGAUGUAGUAUUUCGGUAUGUAAAGCUCUAUCAGCAGGGAAGAAAAUGACGGUACCUGACUAAGAAGCACCGGCUAAAUACGUGCCAGCAGCCGCGGUAA
rnacentral:rRNA from 1 species